GACGAACGCUGGCGGUAUGCUUAACACAUGCAAGUCGAACGAGAAGUUUUUUAUUGAACCUUCGGGGGAUAUAAGAGACAGACAGUGGCGAACGGGUGAGUAACGCGUGGGCAACCUACCUAUCGGAGCGGGAUAGCCUCGAGAAAUCGGGAGUAAAACCGCAUAACACGGAUAUAUCGCAUGAUGAAUCCGUCAAAACUCCGGUGCCGAUAGAUGGGCCCGCGUCUGAUUAGCUAGUUGGUAAGGUAAGGGCUUACCAAGGCAACGAUCAGUAGCCGGUGUGAGAGGGCGAACGGCCACACUGGAACUGAGACACGGUCCAGACUCCUACGGGAGGCAGCAGUGGGGAAUAUUGCGCAAUGGGGGCAACCCUGACGCAGCAAUACCGCGUGAGUGAAGAAGGUUUUCGGAUCGUAAAGCUCUGUUAUUGGGGAAGAAGCAGGACGGUACC
rnacentral:rRNA from 1 species